AUAUAAAGCGCAAGAGAAAGGUUCAGGACAGACAUUGAUUCGAGAAACCCCCACUGGAACACAUCCUCGUCCAGGUAUCAACAUGAAGUCUUCAGUGCUCGUCCUCGUCCUCGCCGUGGCUGUCCUCGUGGGCCUCGGAGAACAAGAACACGGCGGAGGUGAAAGUGGAGAAGAAGGACGGCAAAGUGAAAACCGAUGUCAAGUACGAGCACAGAUUCAACGAACACUUCAGCGUUGACGCCGGAGUCAGUCAUUCGCGUGGAGGAGGGAAAAGUGAUACGAGUGGCACCGUUGGCGCAACAUACAAAUUUCGUUAAUCACCGGAAGGGAGGAGGAAGUGGGAAUGAUAAAAGAAGUUUUGCUUUAGUCUACCCACCCUCACUGUGAUGAAUGAUCGCAGAAAUUCUCACAAAUCAAGAUAUCCCAUUUAACUUCUUGAUUAUAUUAUUUGAUAUGCAUAUUACCCAUGGGAAUCCUCUUUGUAUAGAUAUACAUAUUUUG